rnacentral:rRNA from 1 species
AGCAGCCGCGGUAAUUCCAGCUCCAAUAGCGUAUAUUAAAGUUGUUGCAGUUAAAAAGCUCGUAGUUGAAAUUCGAAAUUUGUCCUAUGGUCGGGCUUUACGGUCCGUACAGUAGUGGCGAAUUUCUACCUUCUGAAGAACCUUCAUGUCAUUAAUUUGAUGUGUUGGGAAAUCAGGACUGUUACUUUGAAAAAAUUAGAGUGUUUAAAGCAGGCUAUAGUCUGAAUACAUUAGCAUGGAAUAAUGAAAUAGGACGGAUUGGUUCUAUUUUGUUGGUUUCUAGGAUCACCGUAAUGAUUAAUAGGGAUAGUUGGGGGCAUUAGUAUUCAAUUGUCAGAGGUGAAAUUCUUGGAUUUAUUGAAGACUAACUUCUGCGAAAGCAUUUGCCAAGGAUGUUUUC